GACGAACGCUGGCGGCGUGCCUAAUACAUGCAAGUAGAACGCUGAAGCUUGGUGCUUGCCCCGAGCGGAUGAGUUGCGAACGGGUGAGUAACGCGUAGGUAACCUGCCUGGUAGCGGGGGAUAACUAUUGGAAACGAUAGCUAAUACCGCAUAAGAGUAGAUGUUGCAUGACAUUUGCUUAAAAGGUGCAAUUGCAUCACUACCAGAUGGACCUGCGUUGUAUUAGCUAGUUGGUGAGGUAACGGCUCACCCAGGCAACGAUACAUAGCCGACCUGAGAGGGUGAUCGGCCACACUGGGACUGAGACACCGCCCAGACUCCUAAGGGAAGCAGCAGGAGGGAAUCUUCGGCAAUGGACGGAAGUCUUAACGAGCAACGCCGCGUGAGUGAAGGAGGUUCUCGGAUCGUAAAGCUCUGUUGUAAGAGAAGAACGAGUGUGAGAGUGGAAAGUUCACACUGUGACGGUAUCUAACCAGAAAGGGACGGCUAACUACGUG
rnacentral:rRNA from 1 species